rnacentral:rRNA from 1 species
UAGCAUAUCAAUAAGCGGAGGAAAAGAAACCAACAGGGAUUGCCCUAGUAACGGCGAGUGAAGCGGCAACAGCUCAAAUUUGAAAUCUGGCUCUUUUAGAGUCCGAGUUGUAAUUUGCAGAGGGCGCUUUGGCGUUGGCAGCGGUCCAAGUUCUUUGGAACAGGACGUCACAGAGGGUGAGAAUCCCGUACGUGGUCGCUAGCCUUCGCCGUGUAAAGCCCCUUCGACGAGUCGAGUUGUUUGGGAAUGCAGCUCUAAAUGGGAGGUAAAUUUCUUCUAAAGCUAAAUACUGGCCAGAGACCGAUAGCGCACAAGUAGAGUGAUCGAAAGAUGAAAAGCACUUUGGAAAGAGAGUCAAAUAGCACGUGAAAUUGUUGAAAGGGAAGCGCUUGCAGCCAGACUUGCCUGUAGUUGCUUAUCCGGACUUUUGUCCGGUGCACUCUUCUGCGGGCAGGCCAGCAUCAGUUUAGGCGGUUGGAUAAAGGUCUCUAUCACGUACCUCCCUUCGGGGCUGGCCUUAUAGGGGAGACGACAUGCAACCAGCCUGAACUGAGGUCCGCGCAUCUGCUAGGAUGCUGGCGUAAUGGCUGUAAGCGGCCCGUCUUGAAACACGGACCAAGGAGUCUAACAUCUAUGCGAGUGUUUGGGUGUCAAGCCCAGACGCGUAAUGAAAGUGAACGGAGGUGGGAACCUUUUAGGUGCACCAUCGACCGAUCCUGAUGUCUUCGGAUGGAUUUGAGUAAGAGCAUGGCUGUUGGGACCCGAAAGAUGGUGAACUAUGCUUGAAUAGGGUGAAGCCAGAGGAAACUCUGGUGGAGGCUCGCAGCGGUUCUGACGUGCAAAUCGAUCGUCAAAUUUGGGCAUAGGGGCGAAAGACUAAUCGAACUAUCUUGUAGCUGGUUCCUGCCAA